AUUGAACGCUGGCGGCAGGCCUAACACAUGCAAGUCGAGCGGAUGAAGGGAGCUUGCUCCUGGAUUCAGCGGCGGACGGGUGAGUAAUGCCUAGGAAUCUGCCUGGUAGUGGGGGAUAACGUCCGGAAACGGGCGCUAAUACCGCAUACGUCCUGAGGGAGAAAGUGGGGGAUCUUCGGACCUCACGCUAUCAGAUGAGCCUAGGUCGGAUUAGCUAGUUGGUGGGGUAAAGGCCUACCAAGGCGACGAUCCGUAACUGGUCUGAGAGGAGGAUCAGUCACACUGGAACUUAGACACGGUCCAGACUCCUACGGGAGGCAGCAGUGGGGAAUAUUGGACAGAGGGGGAAAGCCUGAUCCAGCCAUGCCGCGUGUGUGAAGAAGGUCUUCGGAUUGUAAAGCACUUUAAGUUGGGAGGAAGGGCAGUAAGUUAAUACCUUGCUGUUUUGACGGUACCAACAGAAUAAGCACCGGCUAACUUCGUG
rnacentral:rRNA from 1 species